rnacentral:tRNA from 1 species
GAGGCCGUAGCGCAGUGGUCGACGCGCCUUAACCGCAAGCUGGAGGACGCCGGUUCGAAUCCGGUCGGUCUCG